rnacentral:sRNA from 1 species
AGCAGCCGCGGUAAUUCCAGCUCCAAUAGCGUAUAUUAAAGUUGUUGCAGUUAAAAAGCUCGUAGUUGAACUUCGGGAUUUAUCCAUUGGUCAAGCUUAACUGUCUGUACUGGUGUGAUGAAUUCCUACUUUCUGAGGAACUUCCAUGCCAUUCACUUGGUGUGGUUAAGAAUCAGGACUGUUACUUUGAAAAAUUGAGUGCUCAAGGCAGGCUGAUGCUUGAAUAGAUUAGCAUGGAAUAACGGAAUAGGACGGUGGGUUCUAUUUUGUUGGUUUCUAGGACUACCGUAAUGAUUAAUAGGGAUAGUUGGGGGCAUUAGUAUUCAAAUUGUCAGAGGUGAAAUUCUUGGAUUUAUUGAAGACUAACUAUUGCGAAAGCAUUUGCCAAGGAUGUUUUCAUUA